AUGUUGAUCUUUGAACUUCGUGUUGUUUGUAAUGCGGAUCAACACGAAGGUUAUACCGACAUUGGACAAGGGCAAGGAGGUCGUAUCGCCAUUGGGCAGGGCAAGGAGGUUGUGCUGCCCUUGGAGGACAAUGUGGUGGUGCAGGAUCCCCCCAGCAACAAGCGGAGGAACUACGAGCACUACGAGGAGACAGGGCUAACCCACUUCUGCAAGGUUAUCCUUGCUCCGCAACUGGAGAGCCUACCUUUGCCUGUGGAUUUCACGAAGGACUUCCCCGCCAUCCCUACGGAGUUCUGGCUCAAGACGAACACUGGCUGCACAAGGAGGGUCAUGGUCCGGGUGAUUGAUGGUAGGGUCACCCUUGAUUAGGGUUGGGCCCUCUUCGUCACCAUUCACCAGAUCAGGAUCAGGUACAUGGUAACCUUCAAGUUGCUGACUCCCGGCACCCUGAAGGUUAUCGUCUUUAACGACGGUGCCAUGGAGGUGGUCACCAAGUGCAAGAAACAGGACGACGCUUUUGUCGUGACCGCCUAG
rnacentral:rRNA from 1 species